rnacentral:rRNA from 1 species
UACGUAGGGGGCAAGCGUUGUCCGGAUUUAUUGGGCGUAAAGCGUUCGUAGGCGGCUCGCCGCGUCGUGCGUGAAAGCCCCCGGCUCAACCGGGGGUGGUCGUGCGAUACGGGUAGGCUUGAGGUAGGUAGGGGGACGCGGAAUUCCGGGUGUAGUGGUGGAAUGCAUAGAGAUCCGGAGGAACGCCAGCGGCGAAGGCGGCGUCCUGGACCUGGCCUGACGCUCAGGAGCGAAAGCGUGGGGAGCGAGCCGG